AGGACAUUCCAGGACAAACAAGAUACUACAGAUACAAAGGCACCGAGGACCCUUAAAUGAGGGAUGGGUCUCCCCUUUUCUUUUUCUCAUUUUCCUAGAGGUUACAAGAUUCCUGUUUUUCUCACCAGGAGGAGAGGUCAGCCUCAGUGAGCUCAUAGCAGUCAUACAUUGCCAGUGUUUUUCCUCAAGUGGAAGGAGAAAGGCCUUCAGAAAAAAAAUCGUAUGCAAACCUAGUGCUACCACCAGCAGUAGCUCUGAAUCGAGAUUUUUGGGAGAAUUAGGCUUACUAAAGAUAAACUACAAUAAGUCUCAAGGAAGCAAAUAAUUCUGAUUCUAAUGAGGAAUCCAAGAAUAAAGGCAGCUCUUAAGGCCAAGUACUCUGACUAGAAAAUAUCCUCAUAUUUGAUGGAAGACAGCAUGAGACGGAGAACCAAGUUCCUUAAAGUUGAUCUUGGAGCUCUGAGGGCAGAGGUGUGAACUGAUAUCAACACUUUCAGCUUAGCCUUCUAGAAUUGAGCAGUUUUAUCUUCUAAGUGAAUAAUUCAGCUCAGGUACGGAAGUGAACUGUCUGUGGGUGACUUGCCUGGAUGCCGGCUAUAGCUGCAGCCCCCAAAGUCGAAGCUACCAGAACAGGUUGGAUGAGGAUGGCCCAAAGAUUAUGGAGUUGCUGGCCCCAAAGCAAGUCAGACACUAUGGGAAGUUUGCAUGAAUCAUGCCCUUGGAUAGACAACCUAAAUCAUACCUCAUCGAGCAUGGAUCCUGGUCAGCAUACCAAGUCAAGGCAAGUAAAGACUGAAGAAAUAUCACCUGGUCUGCAGCUCCCCCCAGAACGAAGUCUGCUACUGAUGGCAGAAGCAUAGAUAGACCAAGGGUAUCACUAUGUAAUGAUGGAAGAAGGAAAAACCCCAUGCAUUCACUCAUGUCUUGAAUCACCUAGAGAAGAGAGGGAAUCUGCCAAAGUGGACACAAUAGAAAUUCAGUUCUAAAUUUGGAGGAAAUGAGGCCCACUCUCAGAUAAGAUGAAAAGUAAAAGCCCUAGGAUCCAAUGGGGUAUUAAACAAAUAUUUAAAAGUAGAGAGGUGGUGACCAGUUAUUUCCUGAUAUAUAGAAUACCAUGGGUCCAUAAAGAAUUUUUUAGAGUAUCAAUAUUAUUAACACUUUGAAGAAGACAUAUGAAAAACUGAUUAAAUUAUAAAUUAGGAAAUCAUAGAUCAUUACUAUUUGUAGCCUCUCUACUCCCCUCUGAUUACAGAACUUUAGGCAGUUUGUCUGGAUUGGUGAUUGCUGGAUAAAAGCUCAAGAAAAGAAAGUAGCCAUCAAGAUACUUCUCUUGGGAGGCCGAGGCGGGCAG
rnacentral:lncRNA from 1 species